rnacentral:lncRNA from 1 species
GGGCCUCAAAACGCACAUAGAUUUGAGUGGUAACAAUGAAGCAGCAACGUUGCAACAGGGCUUAAAGAUGAUUGAUAGUAGAUCCGACAGAUAUCCAGUGUCAAUGACAUUACGUGAUUAUCAGCUCUGCAAAACACAGCACCCAAGGAUUUCUUCACUACAAAAGAACGGGUGCAAGGAGACCUUAAAUGAAAUAUCAGAAUACGCAGAAGAAAAUUCUCAAGCAGAACAAGCAGCACUACUUGAGAAAAUAAUUUCAAAGUUAUGUUUCUCAGAAGAGUUUGGGGCUUGUAAAGACUACACAGUUGACCUUACAUCAAUAUAUGAGCUACUGAACAACAAAACAGGACUCAAGUAUUCUUUGCUAAAAGAAAUAAUUAUUGAUCAACUUCUGAGGGCUAUAUCAACAUCCAGAGAAGAACAUGUGAUACGAGAAUCAGUAUCAGUCCUAGCAAUUAUUAUUUCACGGAACAAAUCACUUGUUGAUGACGUGAAGCGGAAAGGGUUACAGUUGAAUCAUUUGGCAACUGCUCUAAAGAAAAAUGUUCAUGAAGCGGCUAUACUAAUUUACUUAAUAAACCCAUCUCCUGCAGAAAUCAGGACAUUAGAACUCUUACCAUGUCUUGUGGAUGUGGUGUGUGCUUCAAACAGCUACAAAUGUAGCCUAAGAACACUGCGGAUAACACCUCCAGCAGCGUCAUUG